UGAAUACGAGACGCUAAGGCGUCGAAGUAGUGUAUAUCAUACUUCCAAGAAAAGCUUGCAAUGUCAUAGAUAAAAAACGCCUGUACCAUAACCGACACAGGUGGGUAGGUAGAGUAUACUAAGGGGCGCGAGAUAACUCUCUCUAAGGAACUCGGCAAAAUAACUCCGUAACUUCGGGAGAAGGAGUGCCUUAUUCGUAAGGUUGCAAUAACAAGAUCCAAGCAACUGUUUAUCAAAAACACAGGUCUCCGCUAAGUCGCAAGACGAUGUAUGGGGGCUGACGCCUGCCCAGUGCCAGAAGGUUAAAGAAGUUGGUUAGCAAUUGCGAAGCUGAUAACUGAAGCCCUGGUGAACGGCGGCCGUAACGAUAACGGUCCUAAGGUAGCGAAAUUCCUUGUCGGGUAAGUUCCGACCCGCACGAAAGGCGUAAUGAUUUGGAUACUGUCUCGGAGAGGGGCUCGGUGAAAUAGACUUGUCUGUGAAGAUGCGGACUACCUGCACCAGGACAGAAAGACCCUAUGAAGCUUUACUGUAACUUGAAAUUGAAAUUGGACUUUAUUCGCGCAGUAUAGGUGGGAGGCGUUGAUUAUAAUCUUGCGGGAUUAUUGGAGCCAUCAGUGAGAUACCACUCUUGUAAUGUUAGAUUUCUAACUUUGAAUCAUUAUCUGGUCAAAGAACAGUUUCAGGCGGGCAGUUUGACUGGGGCGGUCGCCUCCUAAACGGUAACGGAGGCGUACAAAGGUUUCCUCUGAACGGUUAGAAAUCGUAUCUAGAGUGUAAAGGCAUAAGGAAGCUUGACUGUGAGACCUACAAGUCGAGCAGGGACGAAAGUCGGUCUUAGUGAUCUGACGGUACUGAGUGGAAAGGCCGUCGCUCAACGGAUAAAAGUUACUCUAGGAUAACAGGCUGAUCUCCCCCAAGAGUUCACAUCGACGGGGAGGUUUGGCACCUUGAUGUCGGCUCAUCGCAUCCUGGGGCGGUAGUACGUCCCAAGGGUUGGGCUGUUCGCCCAUGAAAGCGGUACGCGAGCUGGGUUCAGAACGUCGUGAGACAGUUCGGUCCAUAUCCGGUGUAGGCGUUAGAAUAUUGAGAGGAGCCUUCUUUAGUACGAGAGGACCGAGAAGGACAUACCUCUGGUGUACCAGUUAUCGUGCCAACGGUAAACGCUGGGUAGCUAUGUAUGGAGUGGAUAACCGCUGGAAGCAUCUAAGUGGGAAGCCCACCUCAAGAUAAGUAUUCUCA
rnacentral:rRNA from 1 species